rnacentral:rRNA from 2 species
UUGACCUCGAAUCAGGCAG